AGUGCCCGGAAGUCCCUAUCCAGCCUUACCCGGGUCACUGCCCACAGCCCCAGGGCACACACUUGGAGACUGCUGACCUCUUGCAGAUGUCACCAAGGGACACAUGUAGGGAUCUGCUCCAUUUCAGCCUCGAGGGGUGACGUCCCCAAGGGAGUCGAGCAGCCAGGCCAGCACUGGACACCGGGCUGGGCGGACAAGGCAGAGUUGGACAGUGCUGCCAGGGGGACCUGGCCACAGAGAUGGGCUCCGUCUGCCUGCGGCCGAGGACUGUGCUGUGGCCCUGCUGCAGUGGCCUGGGCCGGCCCGGCAGCCAGGUGCUCUCGGGACACCUCCCUUGGCCUGGUCGGAUGAUGGCGACGCCUUCUGGUCCACUGAGCAGGAGGCCAGGGACGGGGCCAGCUCAGUGUCCUCCGGCUGCCUGUCUGGCUCCUCGGGGGGCCACGUGUCUUGUGCUCCUCCCUAUGGGCCCUGGAAGGAGAGGCCACCCCGGGUGCCACGGCCACAGCGGUGGUGGCCCAGAAAGAGUGACCCGCGGCUGGAGCGGCUGAGGGACCGGAUCCGCCAGCAGGCGCGGGGGUCGGCCAGCUGCACCUCCCUGAGCACCUCAGCCUCCUCCAGCGCCUCGCACCUCUGUUCCACCUCCACACUGGCGGCCCCGAGGAUUCGCAGGGUGACAGCUGCCCUUCCAGCCUCUGCACACCCAGGUCUGUGGCAGCUCUGGGGUAGGGCCGGUGGGGAUGCAGGCUGAGCCCCAGGCCCCAGAGAGCUUCCUGGAGCAGGGAGACUGGGGGAUCGCCGUCACUCUCUCUUGGCUGGACCCGGCACCUGGCACCCAAAACCGAAAGGAGGAGAGGUCUGUUCUGGCUCAGCUGGCAGAGGUUUCAGCCCGGGCGGGCCGGCUCUGAGCCAGGGUGGCCGGAAAGGAACUUUUCCAGGCCGCGCCCAGGCCCUGCCUCCUCCUAUGAGGAGCAAGUCAGCCGUGGGCCCUGUGGUCUGAUCAACUUCCAAGACCAAAGAGGGAUCUGAACCCUAAUGGGGGGGCUUUGGAGCCUGGCCUAGGACAAGGCAGGCUCAGGAGGAGGAGGGGUGGGGACAGGGAGGGGUGGCGGAAGGGCUCCGGUGUCCUGAGCCUGGGUCUCGUCUCUGUCCCUGCUGCCAGGGGCAUGGACAGAGUUUAAACAGACGGCGGCAGCCAGGGGCACCCUAAAAGCCAGCACAGGACUGAGGGUCAUUUGUGUCCCUCCUAGCAGGGCCAGGCCAGGGUCAGGUGGUCAAGCUCUCUGAACAGCCUCCUUGUGAGGGGUAGGGACCCAAUUAGGUGCUUAGCUCCAUCGAAGGAGAUGGGAGACGUUACCACUUUUUAAAAAGAUAAUACCAGUAUUUAUCAUAUAAAAUUUAUCAGCUGGACACAGUGACACACAACUAUAAUCCCGGCAAGUAGGGAGGCUGGGGCAAAAGGGUGUCAAAUCUGAGGCCCGGACAGCUUACUGAGGCUUUACCUCAGACAGA
rnacentral:lncRNA from 1 species